UUGGAUGAUACAAUCCCUCAUGUGAGAGAGGAUGAGAAACCCAUCUCCAAGAGAGUUGGGAUGAUGGGAUAAUGGAAGUUCCUUGGAGAAACUUGCUAACCAGCUAGUAAAUGGAAGCCCCUUUAACUGGCUGCUGGGGAAUCUUUCAGAGAGCCUUUGUUCUCCUUUACCCUUGCCUCUUGGAUGGACCUCUGCUCUUGGUUUGACCCCUGUCCCCGUGGUGACCUGUGAGAAACGAUGCUCUGGGUGAAAAGGCCUUGCUCCUCUCUCUCCAAGGCCAACACGGGGUCUUUUGAACAGUCUUGAUUCUUUGUCAGCCUCAGUAUUCUUUUUGGAGAAGUUGGAGACUAUAGCCUUGUGCAUUUUGAAAGGUCCAAAGGAGGAGCCAUUGGACGUUCUCAAGUUGCUAUGCUAGUUUUCACAGCAAGCCUAGCAAUAGUUCCUUGAGGAUACCAGCAACAGUGCCCCUUUAGAACCUAGCCCAGUGGUGGUGAAGACAAGGACUUAUCUAGUGGCACUGGGUCUGAAUUUGGUGGGACUGGUGCUAUGUAGGACCUAUGUAAAUUCUGAUCCCACUCUCCCCAGAGACCAAAGGGGCAUAGGGGAAAGUGUGCCUACUGGUAUAUUGAGGGGAAAUACUUGUUCUUCCAUUCUAGGUAUAUCUUUGAAGUAAUCAUCCCUUUGUAAAACUGGCCAAAUGGUGGGCAACAGUAGAGGGAACUCACCUGGAAUGGAGGCCCAGAUGGUGGUAUUAAAGAAGAGACAUCCCAACCCAAGAAACCCGAGUGGGAAUGUAGUAACUUGAUUCUAGAAUAGUGGGACAAGAGACAUUCUCAAGACAACUCCAAAAGAUAGAAAAAGUGAGCCACAGAAAGAAAUCAGGACCUCAUCUAAAUCAUGCAGAGGAUUUGUGGCAGAACUGGGACCAGAAAUUUGAUGGCCUGACUCCCAGGACAGAUCACUCUCCAUCAUUCCCCCAAGAGACACAGGGAAGCUGGGAAGGAUCUAGCAAUGAAUCCAACAAAAAGUAGAAGAUAGUCGGAAAUCCUGGGAAGGCAGCCAUUUAUCCAUAGAAACUGGGUCCUGGAAUGGACUUCCUCUCGAAUCUAUCACCUGAAGGCCCUUCCAUUCUUCAAUGACAUCUCUUCCAUGAUACUCCAGUGAAGCACCCUUUCCUGGAAUGUUGCCUUCCUCAUUGGUUGUGAGGGGCAAAGGAGAAGCAUGUUAAUUUGGCAAAAGAACACUAGAUUGGAGGUCAGGAGUCCUGGAUCGGGGCUGCAGCUCCACUACUAACCAGGUAUGUAACGUGGAUAUCACCUACCCUUGUUAUUCUGAAUGUAUAAUGUGAAGGAAGGGGAUUUUGGACUACAAAAUGUAGUACUCAUUUGAAGACUUAAUUAUUAGCAUCAUUGAUUCUUGGGGGACUUCAGAAGGCAUCUGGUUCUACUCAGCCCCCCUAACCUGAAUACAGGAACUCUCUUUACAGCUUCCCUGAUUGGGCCCCAUCCAGCCUCUACCUGGAAAACUUCAGUGACAAGAAGUACAUUCCCUCCUUAUUGCAUUUUGGGACAUUUUGGAUUGUUAGGAGGUAGAGCUAUAAGGAACUUCAGAAACCAAUUGCUCUUCCUUUCUCCUGAGACCAAAAUGACUUUUCCCACCUGGCUCCUAGUUCUUCCUUUUGGGGCCACUCAGAAUUAGUCUGCUUCUUUUGU